rnacentral:lncRNA from 10 species
ACUUACUUGCUGUGCUUCUCUGAGUGCCUCGUGGCCUCUUUAUCACCACCUGUUGAAGGAAAUGUUAGAUCCAGAUAUGGAUGGAAGCUGAUAAGGUUUGGACACCCAGAAGAAGCAGAAAGCCAGUCACUUUGCAGUAAUUCAAUUUUCUUUAUUGGGGUUGCAAUGGUCAAGGAAAUAACAUGCUCCAAAGAUAACACAAAAGUGAACAAAAAUGGUUCCUGUCCUGAAGAACUUCACCUUUUUGGAGACUGCAUCAGAUAUGCAGUGAAUAACUAUUAUAAAUAGAAGAAAGUAGUAAAUACCAGUAAUAAAUGCCUUCAUUGAUAAAGAGAUAAAAUCUUAGUGAAAUUCAAGGGAGGGCAUAGCAUACUUCUGACUUGGAGGAAUCAGGAGAACCUUGUGAAGAAAAAGAUAAUUUCAGAUAAUCUGUGAAUGGUAGAUAAGAUUUGAACAGAUAAAUGUAAGGAAGAAAGACUUUCCAAGAAAGAGACUCAAUGUCAAAUAAGAGGGCAUGGUCAUAAGGGCAAGGCUGCACUUGACUGGACUCUGGAAUAUGAUGCAGGUGGCAUGAGGAAGAAGGUGGGCAUCAUCAGCUGCAGCUGACUCAGGGACCUUGAAUGACCAUGUGCAAGCUCUGGCCCUACCACUCGGACAGUGUGGACUCACUAAGAAGUGAGUGGGCCUGGCAAACCCCAGCUUUAGAACGAUGAAUGGAGAAAAAGUGGAGGCAAGAGGGCACUUCAGGAGGCUGCUGAUGAGGUCUGACCUAGGUUAGUGGCAGUGAGGGUGGUUCACAAGGAAGGAUUGUAAGAGACAUUUCUAAGAUGGCAUCAUCAGGGACCCUGCAACAGAUGGUUUCCGGCACAAGAGAGAGGGAGGAGCCAGCCAGGUACAGUGGCUCAUGCCUGUAAUCCCAGCACUUUGGGAGAACGA